rnacentral:rRNA from 1 species
GCCUAAUACAUGCAAGUAGAACGCUGAAGAGAGGAGCUUGCUCUUCUUGGAUGAGUUGCGAACGGGUGAGUAACGCGUAGGUAACCUGCCUUGUAGCGGGGGAUAACUAUUGGAAACGAUAGCUAAUACCGCAUAACAAUGGAUGACACAUGUCAUUUAUUUGAAAGGGGCAAAUGCUCCACUACAAGAUGGACCUGCGUUGUAUUAGCUAGUAGGUGAGGUAACGGCUCACCUAGGCGACGAUACAUAGCCGACCUGAGAGGGUGAUCGGCCACACUGGGACUGAGACACGGCCCAGACUCCUACGGGAGGCAGCAGUAGGGAAUCUUCGGCAAUGGGGGCAACCCUAACCGAGCAACGCCGCGUGAGUGAAGAAGGUUUUCGGAUCGUAAAGCUCUGUUGUAAGUCAAGAACGAGUGUGAGAGUGGAAAGUUCACACUGUGACGGUAGCUUACCAGAAAGGGACGGCUAACGACGUGCCAGCAGCCGCGGUAAUACGUAGGUCCCGAGCGUUGUCCGGAUUUAUUGGGCGUAAAGCGAGCGCAGGCGGUUUGAUAAGUCUGAAGUUAAAGGCUGUGGCUCAACCAUAGUUCGCUUUGGAAACUGUCAAACUUGAGUGCAGAAGGGGAGAGUGGAAUUCCAUGUGUAGCGGUGAAAUGCGUAGAUAUAUGGAGGAACACCGGUGGCGAAAGCGGCUCUCUGGUCUGUAACUGACGCUGAGGCUCGAAAGCGUGGGGAGCGAACAGGAUUAGAUACCCUGGUAGUCCACGCCGUAAACGAUGAGUGCUAGGUGUUGGAUCCUUUCCGGGAUUCAGUGCCGCAGCUAACGCAUUAAGCACUCCGCCUGGGGAGUACGACCGCAAGGUUGAAACUCAAAGGAAUUGACGGGGGCCCGCACAAGCGGUGGAGCAUGUGGUUUAAUUCGAAGCAACGCGAAGAACCUUACCAGGUCUUGACAUCCCGAUGCUAUUUCUAGAGAUAGAAAGUUACUUCGGUACAUCGGUGACAGGUGGUGCAUGGUUGUCGUCAGCUCGUGUCGUGAGAUGUUGGGUUAAGUCCCGCAACGAGCGCAACCCCUAUUGUUAGUUGCCAUCAUUCAGUUGGGCACUCUAGCGAGACUGCCGGUAAUAAACCGGAGGAAGGUGGGGAUGACGUCAAAUCAUCAUGCCCCUUAUGACCUGGGCUACACACGUGCUACAAUGGUUGGUACAACGAGUUGCGAGUCGGUGACGGCAAGCUAAUCUCUUAAAGCCAAUCUCAGUUCGGAUUGUAGGCUGCAACUCGCCUACAUGAAGUCGGAAUCGCUAGUAAUCGCGGAUCAGCACGCCGCGGUGAAUACGUUCCCGGGCCUUGUACACACCGCCCGUCACACCACGAGAGUUUGUAACACCCGAAGUCGGUGAGGUAACCUUUUGGAGCCAGCCGCCUAAGGUGGGAUAGAUGAUUGGGGUGAAGUGG